CACUCCUACGGGAGGCAGCAGUGGGGAAUUUUGGACAAUGGGCGAAAGCCUGAUCCAGCAAUGCCGCGUGAGUGAAGAAGGCCUUCGGGUUGUAAAGCUCUUUUGUCAGGGAAGAAACGGUGAGAGCUAAUAUCUUUUGCUAAUGACGGUACCUGAAGAAUAAGCACCGGCUAACUACGUGCCAGCAGCCGCGGUAAUACGUAGGGUGCAAGCGUUAAUCGGAAUUACUGGGCGUAAAGCGUGCGCAGGCGGUUUUGUAAGUCUGAUGUGAAAUCCCCGGGCUCAACCUGGGAAUUGCAUUGGAGACUGCAAGGCUAGAAUCUGGCAGAGGGGGGUAGAAUUCCACGUGUAGCAGUGAAAUGCGUAGAUAUGUGGAGGAACACCGAUGGCGAAGGCAGCCCCCUGGGUCAAGAUUGACGCUCAUGCACGAAAGCGUGGGGAGCAAACAGGAUUAGAUACCCGUGUAGUCCCAUG
rnacentral:rRNA from 1 species